GACGUAGGAGGCGAGCGUUGUCCGGAUUCAUUGGGCGUAAAGAGCACGCAGGCGGUUUGGCAAGUCGGAUGUGAAAACCCGAGGCUCAACCUCGGGCCUGCAUCCGAAACUGCCCGACUAGAGGUAGGUAGGGGAGAUCGGAAUUCCUGGUGUAGCGGUGAAAUGCGCAGAUAUCAGGAGGAACACCAAUAGCGAAGGCAGCUCGCUGGGACGGUACUGACGCUAAGGCGCGAAAGCGUGGGGAGCGAACAGG
rnacentral:rRNA from 1 species